AACGAACGCUGGCAGCGUGGAUUAGGCAUGCAAGUCGGACGGGAUCCGGCGGAUAGCAAUAUUCGCUGGUGAGAGUGGCGGAUUGGGGAGGAGCACGUGAGCAACCUGCCCUGGAGAUGUGGAAAACCUCGGGAAACUGAGGCUAAUACAGAAUGUGGCGCCCCGCGGCAUCGCGGGAGCGCCGAAGGGGGCCGCAAGGCUCCCGCUCCGGGAUGGGCUCGCGCACCAUCAGCUAGUUGGCGGGGUAACGGCCCACCAAGGCCUACGGUUAGCUGGUCUGAGAGGAUGACCAGCCCCACUGGGACUGAGAUACUGCCCAGACUCCUACGGGAGGCUGCAGUCGAGGAUCAUUCGCAAUGGGCGAAAGCCUGACGAUGCGACGCUGCGUGGAAGGAUGAAGGCCUUCGGGUCGUAAACUCCUGUCAUGGGGGAAGAGGCGAGGGAAGCUAACACCUUCCUUAGUUGACUGUACCCCAAGAGGAAGCGACGGCUAACUCUGUGCCAGCAGCGGC
rnacentral:rRNA from 1 species